AUGCAUUCCACCAAUCUGCUCCUCGAGGAGCCCAUCCGGAUGGUCUCCAUCCUCGAGCCAUCCAAGCCGAACUUCUUCCCGGCGAUGACGAAGAUCGUGGGGACGCUGGGUCCCAAGUCCCGGUCCGUUGAGGCCAUCUCCGCCUGUCUAAAGGCCGGCAUGUCUGUGGCCCGUUUCGAUUUCUCGUGGGGGGAUGCCGCGUACCACCAGGAGACACUCGAGAACCUCAAGCUCGCCAUCAAGGCCACCAAGAAGCUAUGUGCUGUUAUGCUCGACACUGUUGGCCCUGAGUUGCAAGUGGUGAACAAGAGUGAAGUCACAAUCUCGCUUGAAGAGAACGAGUCUGUUGUUCUCACCCCUCACCAGGGCCAGGAGGCCUCUUCCAAGUUGCUCCCUAUCAACUUCGCUGGACUCGCCAAGGCUGUGAAGCCCGGAGCCACAAUAUUCGUUGGGCAAUAUUUGUUCACGGGCAGUGAGACUACAUCAGUUUGGCUGGAGGUUUCUGAAGUUCAAGGGGAUGACGUGGUUUGCGUGAUCAAGAACUCAGCUACCCUGGCUGGGUCACUCUUCACAUUGCACUGCUCCCAGAUCCAUAUCGACAUGCCCACGCUGUCUGAUGAGGAUAAAGAUGUUAUGAAAAAAUGGGGUGCUCCAAACAAGAUUGACUUCCUCUCUCUUUCUUAUACAAGGCACGCAGAAGAUGUGCGGCAAGCACGGGAGUUCCUCUCUAAGUUAGGUGAUCUUAGCCAAACUCUGAUUUUUGCCAAAAUUGAGAAUGUGGAGGGCUUGAACCAUUUUGAUGAGAUCCUGGAGGAAGCGGAUGGUAUCAUUCUCUCAAGAGGGAACCUUGGAAUUGAUCUUCCACCUGAAAAGGUGUUCUUAUUUCAGAAGUCUGCUCUGCACAAGUGCAACAUGGCUGGAAAGCCUGCUGUUGUUACUCGUGUUGUGGACAGUAUGACGGACAACCUAAGGCCUACUCGUGCGGAGGCAACUGAUGUGGCAAAUGCGGUGCUGGAUGGUAGUGAUGCCAUUCUCCUUGGUGCCGAGACUCUCCGUGGGUUGUAUCCAGUUGAGACUAUUUCAACAGUGGGCAGAAUUUGUGCUGAGGCUGAGAAGGUCUUCAACCAAGAUUUGUACUUUAAGCGAACUGUGAAAUAUGUGGGAGAACCCAUGACCCACUUGGAGUCUAUUGCUUCCUCUGCAGUGCGGGCUGCUAUUAAAGUUAAGGCUUCGGUCAUCAUUUGCUUCACCUCAUCUGGACGGGCUGCAAGGCUAAUUGCCAAGUACAGGCCCACCAUGCCUGUCCUCUCUGUUGUCAUUCCUCGUCUGAAAACAAAUCAAUUGAAGUGGAGCUUCACAGGUGCAUUUGAGGCAAGACAAUCACUCAUAGUUAGAGGUCUCUUUCCCAUGCUUGCCGAUCCACGUCAUCCGGCUGAAUCUACUAGCACUACAAAUGAAUCAGUGUUGAAGGUUGCUCUUGACCACGGCAAAGCAUCUGGUGUGAUCAAGUCGCAUGACCGCGUCGUCGUGUGCCAGAAAGUGGGAGAUUCCUCUGUCGUGAAGAUCAUUGAGCUGGACGACUAG
rnacentral:rRNA from 1 species